UACGUAGGGUGCGAGCGUUAAUCGGAAUUACUGGGCGUAAAGUGUGCGCAGGUGGCCGCGCAAGUCGAGUGUGAAAUCCCCGAGCUUAACUUGGGAAUUGCGCUCGGAACUACGUGGCUCGAGUGUGGCAGAGGAAGGUGGAAUUCCACGUGUAGCGGUGAAAUGCGUAGAUAUCGUGAGGAACACCAGAGGCGAAGGCGGCUACCUGGACAAUUGCUGACGCUCAGGCACGAAAGCGUGGGGAGCAAAAGGG
rnacentral:rRNA from 1 species